GGUACUUCCACCCAUAUAGAAGGUGAACUAUGUGCUACAAUGAGAAGAACACAGGAGCCUAUCAAAAACACAAGCAAAGCAACGACCUUUGUGCCAUUGCAGGAAUCAACAUGAUUGCAGAGCAGUCUUGCUGCUGCAGGACUACACGAGGCUACAACAGGAGACUUUUAAUUUGGUUUAUCAGCAGGUCAUAUGAAUUUCAGCAAAGUGUUCCAGUCUACCUCAUCUUUUUUUUUUUUUUUUUUUUUUUCAUUUUUAGAAAAUAAAUCAGACUUCAUAACAUAGGCAAGAUGUUAUGAGAAACGCCCCUGAGUUCUGGUCUGAAAAUCACCAUGUCUCUGGAAAGGAGAAGGCUGGAGCACCCCUCCUACGAAGAGAGGCUGACGGAGCUGGGCUUGCUCAGCCUGGAGAAGAGAAGGCUCCAGAGAGACCUCACUGUGUUCAGCCAGUACUUAAAGGGAGAUUAUAAACAGGAGGGGAAUGAACUUUUAAAACAGGCCCCUCCAAAGCACAACAUUGAUGCCAAGACCACAAAUGGAAGCCACAAGGAGGAAAAUGAUAAGCAUCUUUGCAUUUCCUGGCACUCAGGCUGCCUCAGCAAGGAAUUCAUUCCCUGCCUGAACUGCUCAGCAAUAUGCACACCGUUUUACAUAGAGAAAUGGGACUGGAGGAGGAACGUAGCCCACAGAGUGCUUCAGUAUGAUGCCAUCCCCCAACUGAGCUGUUUCUGCAUCUGGCCAUCAAAGCUCUUGUCGUGUGGACGAAAUCUUGAGACACAUUCAAGACGAUUUACUAUUCUGCUCUACAAAUUGGAUAUUUACAGGCCUGGAUUGAACAUCUAUAUUCCUCUACCCAGAAGUAGCACAUAUUGACCCAAUUUCUGUGCUUAAUAGUAUGCUGUAAAUCCAGACCAACUUCACAUAUUUCAGCAGAUUUACUUCAAGGUGACUGAGAUUAGAACAUGACGUAGAGAAAUAUGUUGCUUCAGCCACAACUAUCUUUUCACUUGUUGGUUUAACACCCCUGUGCUGCUUAAUUAGGGGAAUGCUUCAGAUCUGAUCUUAAACAAACCAAUAAACCCAAAGCAAUAACCACCUUAUCUACUUCACUCCGACCUUCGCUGAAAGGCCUCCUCAGCCUUCACCUCAUAAUUUUAUGCUGACUGUGGGGAACAUCCUAGAGCCAGAAGGAGAUCAGAGAGGACAGUACCAUAUCUCCCAGUUACUACCUUUGUCCAGGCUUUUGCUCAUUGCACUCCUCGAGUUACUUGCUUUUUCUUGCCUUUUAUAUGAUUUUGAAAGGCAAACAGCAACACGUUUUGUUUCCAGACACUAACAUACUUUAAAGUUUGCACUCAACCCGUAGGAUUUGCAGGGCAACAGUCGUCAUCACUGUCGCCAUCGUCAAAGUGUCCUGGAAACCCAUUCCUGUAGAGACGGCAAGGCAGAAAGGGUUCAGCAUGGCAGUAGAUGGCGCUGAAGACCUUGGAGCACACCAAGGAGCCUUGGAUGACCCACACACCUUCCGAGGCCUCUCAAGGAGCCUUUUCCCCCUCUGUUCCUUUGCUUUCCGAAAGAGCAACCACCACACAGGGACGCGAGAAGACCUUCCCAAUGAAAUUUGGGCCACUGGGGCUCAGUGCAGAGCAGGCUAAUCUUAGAGAAACUCUUAGUAGAUGGGGGAUCACACACUGUGGAUGAGAGUUACUGGCUCUAACAGGGAGCGUGAAAAUGGCAGCAAACCAUGCACCAUGGAACAGCCCUCUUUCUGGGUAGGUGUAGUGCCUUCUCCAACACUUUGCUACUCCCUCAUUUGCAGAGUUCAGCAUGGUUGCAGAGAGCUGAUGGCCUUCUUUCUCUGAUUGCAAUAAUCUCCCCAGACGCAAUUACAUUUAUAGCUUCACAGGUGUGUCUGCAAUUACAGAAGUGCUGCAAGUCAGCUCCAAGCCACUGUCUGUCACUGUUACCACGAGACUGCUGGGAACAUGUGACUACCUGUACCGUGAGAUUUCAGGUCAUCUGAACCUUCAUUCUUUCUCUUAUCUGAUAGAACAUGUCGUAUCUUAUGUGUAGCUCAAUGAAUCUGAAAAAAUAUUACCUUGACCUCCCUGACUUCCUUGUCUGUUCUUCCUGGUUUCAGGGGAAAAGUAGAAGAAAAUAAUUCCUUGGUCUUUUAUGGAGCAAAGGAUGUACAUACGUUAUAUCCAGUAGAAUGCUAUACUUUAUGGUGCACUGGCUUUGGGAUUACAUUGGUUUCCUAGGUGGGAAAUGCAGAUUUGUGUCAUUCCAGUGAUGGGUAGUUCUGACACUCUCCAGAGUUGCCUGACCCCAGCUACCUAUCCAGUCAAUGGAGUUGAUGGUGUCAGUGGUAAAAGGAUGUUCAUAUCACCUCCAUCUAAAGUAGAGAUCACAUCUACUGCUUUCACAGCAAGCCAGGCAUCACCCACCUUUCUCUUACACUGCAAUGGGGGCACUGAAGCAUGUUGCAGGAUCUGCAGUGGGAAAUCUCAACUAAGGUUUGUGUCUUCUUAGUAAAUUGCUG
ensembl:lncRNA